rnacentral:rRNA from 1 species
CAGCCGCCGCGGUAAUACGUAGGUGGCAAGCGUUGUCCGGAAUUAUUGGGCGUAAAGGGCUCGCAGGCGGUUUCUUAAGUCUGAUGUGAAAGCCCCCGGCUCAACCGGGGAGGGUCAUUGGAAACUGGGAAACUUGAGUGCAGAAGAGGAGAGUGGAAUUCCACGUGUAGCGGUGAAAUGCGUAGAGAUGUGGAGGAACACCAGUGGCGAAGGCGACUCUCUGGUCUGUAACUGACGCUGAGGAGCGAAAGCGUGGGGAGCGAACAGGAUUAGAGACCCGUGUAGUCCCUGUCUCUUAUAC